rnacentral:rRNA from 1 species
CCUACGGGGGACAGCAGUGGGGAAUAUUGGGCAAUGGGCGAAAGCCUGACCCAGCAACGCCGCGUGAAGGAAGAAGGCUUUCGGGUUGUAAACUUCUUUUGACAGGGAAGAGCAGAAGACGGUACCUGUCGAAUAAGACACGGCUAACUACGUGCCAGCAGCGGCGGUAAUCCGUAGGUGGCAAGCGUUGUCCGUAUUUACUGGGUGUAACGGGCGUGUAGCCGGGCUGACAAGUCAGUUGUGAAAUCAGGGGGCUCAACCCCCGAACUGCAUUUGAAACUGUUGGUCUGGAGUAUCGGAGAGGCAGGCGGAAUGCCUAGGGUAGCGGUGAAAUGCGUAGAUAUUAGGAGGAACACCAGUGGCGAAGGCGGCCUGCUGGACGACAACGGACGGUGAGGCGCGAAAGCGUGGGGAGCAAACAGGAUUAGAUACCCGGGUAGUC